rnacentral:rRNA from 1 species
GAAAACGCUGGCGGCGUGCGUAACACAUGCCAUUCGAACGAGAAUGUACUGACGGAUCCUUCGGGUGAAGAUCCCCAGGACAGUGGCGGAUGGGUGAGUAACGCGUAAGAAACCUGCCUUUCACACCGGGAUAGCAGCUGGAAACGGCUAUCACUACCGGAUGACACUUUUUCCCCGCAUGAGGAAGAGGUUAAAGAAUUUCGGUGAAAGAUGGUCUUGCGUCUGAUUAGCUAGUUGGUGGGGUAACGGCCUACCAAGGCGACGAUCAGUAGCCGGCCUGAGAGGGUGUACGGCCACAUUGGGACUGAGACACGGCCCAAACUCCUACGGGAGGCAGCAGUGGGGAAUUUUGCACAAUGGAGGAAACUCUGAUGCAGCGACGCCGCGUGAACGAAGAAGGUCUUCGGAUUGUAAAGUUCUGUCCUGGGUGAAGAUAAUGACGGUAACUCAGGAGGAAGCCCCGGCUAACUACGUGCCAGCAGCCGCGGUAAUACGUAGGGGGCGAGCGUUGUUCGGAAUUAUUGGGCGUAAAGGGUACGUAGGCGGUUUGUUAAGUUUGGCG